rnacentral:rRNA from 1 species
AGAAUAGCCUUGAACGCUAGCUACAGGCUUAACACAUGCAAGUCGAGGGGCAUCAGGAAGAAAGCUUGCUUUCUUUGCUGGCGACCGGCGCACGGGUGAGUAACACGUAUCCAACCUGCCCUUUACUCGGGGAUAGCCUUUCGAAAGAAAGAUUAAUACCCGAUAGCAUAAUGAUUCCGCAUGGUUUCAUUAUUAAAGGAUUCCGGUAAAGGAUGGGGAUGCGUUCCAUUAGGUUGUUGGUGAGGUAACGGCUCACCAAGCCUUCGAUGGAUAGGGGUUCUGAGAGGAAGGUCCCCCACAUUGGAACUGAGACACGGUCCAAACUCCUACGGGAGGCAGCAGUGAGGAAUAUUGGUCAAUGGGCGCUAGCCUGAACCAGCCAAGUAGCGUGAAGGAUGAAGGCUCUAUGGGUCGUAAACUUCUUUUAUAUAAGAAUAAAGUGCAGUAUGUAUACUGUUUUGUAUGUAUUAUAUGAAUAAGGAUCGGCUAACUCCGUGCCAGCAGCCGCGGUAAUACGGAGGAUCCGAGCGUUAUCCGGAUUUAUUGGGUUUAAAGGGAGCGUAGGUGGACUGGUAAGUCAGUUGUGAAAGUUUGCGGCUCAACCGUAAAAUUGCAGUUGAUACUGUCAGUCUUGAGUACAGUAGAGGUGGGCGGAAUUCGUGGUGUAGCGGUGAAAUGCUUAGAUAUCACGAAGAACUCCGAUUGCGAAGGCAGCUCACUGGACUGCAACUGACACUGAUGCUCGAAAGUGUGGGUAUCAAACAGGAUUAGAUACCCUGGUAGUCCACACAGUAAACGAUGAAUACUCGCUGUUUGCGAUAUACAGUAAGCGGCCAAGCGAAAGCAUUAAGUAUUCCACCUGGGGAGUACGCCGGCAACGGUGAAACUCAAAGGAAUUGACGGGGGCCCGCACAAGCGGAGGAACAUGUGGUUUAAUUCGAUGAUACGCGAGGAACCUUACCCGGGCUUAAAUUGCAGUGGAAUGAUGUGGAAACAUGUCAGUGAGCAAUCACCGCUGUGAAGGUGCUGCAUGGUUGUCGUCAGCUCGUGCCGUGAGGUGUCGGCUUAAGUGCCAUAACGAGCGCAACCCUUAUCUUUAGUUACUAACAGGUUAUGCUGAGGACUCUAGAGAGACUGCCGUCGUAAGAUGUGAGGAAGGUGGGGAUGACGUCAAAUCAGCACGGCCCUUACGUCCGGGGCUACACACGUGUUACAAUGGGGGGUACAGAAGGCAGCUAGCGGGUGACCGUAUGCUAAUCCCAAAAUCCUCUCUCAGUUCGGAUCGAAGUCUGCAACCCGACUUCGUGAAGCUGGAUUCGCUAGUAAUCGCGCAUCAGCCACGGCGCGGUGAAUACGUUCCCGGGCCUUGUACACACCGCCCGUCAAGCCAUGGGAGCCGGGGGUACCUGAAGUACGUAACCGCAAGGAUCGUCCUAGGGUAAAACCGAGUUAGC